rnacentral:rRNA from 1 species
AUCAGAUGAGUCUAUGUACCAUUAGCCUGUAGGUGGGGUAAAGGCCUACCAAGGCUACGAUGGUUAGCUGGUCUGAGAGGAUGAUUAGCCACACUGGAACUGGGACACGGUCCAGACUCCUACGGGAGGCAGCAGUAGGGAAUGACGGAGCAACGCCGCGUGAGCGAAGAAGGUCUUCGGAUUGUAAAGCUCUGUGAUAUUGGACGAACAAUUUCCCGUAAAUAAUGGGAAGGAAUGACGGUACAAUAAGAGGAAGCCACGGCUAACUACGUGCCAGCAGCCGCGGUAAUACGUAGGUGGCAAACGUUGUCCGGAAUUACUGGGCGUAAAGGGCGAGUAGGUGGUUUGCUAGUCCAAAGUGAAAACUCCGGGCUCAACUUGGAGACUGCUCUACGAAACUGGUAGACUUGAGUGCAAGAGAGGGAAGUGGAAUUCCUAGUGUAGCGGUGAAAUGCGUAGAUAUUAGGAGGAACACCAGUGGCGAAGGCGACUUCCUGGCUUGUAACUGACACUGAGGCGCGAAAGCGUGGGGAUCAAACAGGAUUAGAUACCCUGGUAGUCCACGCCGUAAACGAUGGAUACUAGGUGUUGGCUGUGCGAGGCUUCGGUGCCGCAGCUAACGCAUUACCGCUUGGGGAGUACGGUCGCAAGACUGAAACUCAAAGGAAUUGACGGGGGCCCGCACAAGCGGUGGAGUAUGUGGUUUAAUUCGACGCAACGCGAAGAACCUUACCAAGGCUUGACAUCCUGUGACAGCCAUGGAAAUAUGGUCUUCUUAGUUUACUAAGACACAGAGACAGGUGGUGCAUGGUUGUCGUCAGCUCGUGUCGUGAGAUGUUGGGUUAAGUCCCGCAACGAGCGCAACCCCUACAGCUAGUUGCCAGCACAUAAUGGUGGGAACUCUAGCAGAACUGCCGUUGACAAACCGGAGGAAGGUGGGGACGACGUCAAAUCAUCAUGCCCCUUAUGUCCAGGGCUACACACGUACUACAAUGGCCUGUACAGAGGGCAGCGAAGCGGUAACGUGAAGCGAAUCUCAAAAAAGCUGUCUCAGUUCGGAUCGUGGGCUGCAACCCGCCCACGUGAAGUCGGAGUUGCUAGUAAUCGCGAAUCAUCAUGUCGCGGUGAAUACGUUCCCGGGCCUUGUACACACCGCCCGUCACACCAUGGGAGUUGGGAGCGCCCGAAGUCAGUAUCCUAACCGCAAGGAGGGAGCUGCCGAAGGCGAGAUCAAUGACUGGGGUGAAGUCGUAACAAGGUAACCA